UUGAAUUAAUAGUGGUAGUGCUGAUGCUGGUGGUCAAACACAUGUGCUCGCUCUGCCACUUAUUAACAUUUCCACCUGUGAACUAUUGUAGAUGUUGAAGGUCACCUCUCAAGCUUUCAGCAAUGAUAUGCUUGGUCUGGCGUUUGCGGGCUUCAUUCAGUUGAAGUCGGCUCUCGCUGCGAACUUCAACAUCUAUCCUUACAUAUACCCAUUAACAAAAAGUAACAAGAAGGACUUGAUUGGGCUUCAUUGCCUAUAAAUCAAUUAUA
rnacentral:misc_RNA from 1 species